rnacentral:tRNA from 1 species
GCCUCGGUAGCUCAGUGGAUUAGAGCAGCGGGCUUCUAUCCCGUUGGUCGGGGGUUCGAAUCCCUCCCGGGGUA